GGCGUACGCUGGCGGCGUGCCUAUACAUGCAAGUCGAACGCGUCUUGGUCAAUGAUUUUAGGUGCUUGCACUUGGAAUGAUUUGACAUUGAGACGAGUGGCGAACUGGUGAGUAACACGUGGGUAACCUGCCCUUGAAGUAGAGGAUAACACUUGGAAACAGGUGCUAAUACUGCAUAACAACGAAAACCGCCUGGUUUUCGUUUGAAAGAUGGCUUCGGCUAUCGCUUUAGGAUGGACCCGCGGCGUAUUAGCUAGUUGGUGAGGUAACGGCUCACCAAGGCAAUGAUACGUAGCCGACCUGAGAGGGUAAUCGGCCACAUUGGGACUGAGACACGGCCCAAACUCCUACGGGAGGCAGCAGUAGGGAAUCUUCCACAAUGGACGAAAGUCUGAUGGAGCAACGCCGCGUGAGUGAUGAAGGGUUUCGGCUCGUAAAACUCUGUUGUUGGAGAAGAACGGGUGUCAGAGUAACUGUUGACAUCGUGACGGUAUCCAACCAGAAAGCCACGGCUAACUACGUGCCAGCAGCCGCGGUAAUACGUAGGUGGCAAGCGUUGUCCGGAUUUAUUGGGCGUAAAGCGAGCGCAGGCGGUUUUUUAGGUCUGAUGUGAAAGCCUUCGGCUUAACCGGAGAAGUGCAUCGGAAACCGGGAGACUUGAGUGCAGAAGAGGACAGUGGAACUCCAUGUGUAGCGGUGAAAUGCGUAGAUAUAUGGAAGAACACCAGUGGCGAAGGCGGCUGUCUGGUCUGCAACUGACGCUGAGGCUCGAAAGCAUGGGUAGCGAACAGGAUUAGAUACCCUGGUAGUCCAUGCCGUAAACGAUGAGUGCUAAGUGUUGGAGGGUUUCCGCCCUUCAGUGCUGCAGCUAACGCAUUAAGCACUCCGCCUGGGGAGUACGACCGCAAGGUUGAAACUCAAAGGAAUUGACGGGGGCCCGCACAAGCGGUGGAGCAUGUGGUUUAAUUCGAUGCUACGCGAAGAACCUUACCAGGUCUUGACAUCUUCUGCCAACCUAAGAGAUUAGGCGUUCCCUUCGGGGACAGAAUGACAGGUGGUGCAUGGUUGUCGUCAGCUCGUGUCGUGAGAUGCCGUAG
rnacentral:rRNA from 1 species